rnacentral:rRNA from 1 species
CGAACGCUGGCGGCAGGCCUAACACAUGCAAGUCGAGCGCGCCUUUCGGGGUGAGCGGCGGACGGGUUAGUAACGCGUGGGAAUAUACCCUUUGGUACGGAAUAGCCUCUGGAAACGGAGAGUAAUACCGUAUGAGCCCUUCGGGGGAAAGAUUUAUCGCCAAAGGAUUAGCCCGCGUUAGAUUAGGUAGUUGGUGGGGUAAUGGCCUACCAAGCCUACGAUCUAUAGCUGGUUUUAGAGGAUGAUCAGCAACACUGGGACUGAGACACGGCCCAGACUCCUACGGGAGGCAGCAGUGGGGAAUCUUGGACAAUGGGGGCAACCCUGAUCCAGCCAUGCCGCGUGAGUGAAGAAGGCCCUAGGGUCGUAAAGCUCUUUCGCCUGUGAAGAUAAUGACGGUAGCAGGUAAAGAAACCCCGGCUAACUCC